rnacentral:rRNA from 1 species
CAAGUUUAAAUCUCAAAGGAAUGGGGGGGGGCCCGCACAAGCGGUGGAGUAUGUGGUUUAAUUCGAUGCAACGCGAAGAACCUUACCUGGUCUUGACAUCUCAAGGAUCUCCUGGAAACAGGAGAGUGCUUUCUUUCGAGAGAACUUGAAGACAGGUGCUGCAUGGCUGUCGUCAGCUCGUGUCGUGAGAUGUUGGGUUAAGUCCCGCAACGAGCGCAACCCUCGCCAUUAGUUGCCAUCAUUUAGUUGGGCACUCUAAUGGGCCUGCCGGUGUCAAACCGGAGGAAGGUGGGGAUGACGUCAAGUCCUCAUGGCCUUUAUGACCAGGGCUACACACGUACUACAAUGGCCGAUACAAAGGGCAGCCACAGGGCGACCUGGAGCAAAUCCCAUAAAGUCGGUCUCAGUCCGGAUCGGAGUCUGCAACUCGACUCCGUGAAGUUGGAAUCGCUAGUAAUCGUGGAUCAGCAUGCCACGGUGAAUACGUUCCCGGGCCUUGUACACACCGCCCGUCACACCACGGAAGUUGGUUGUACCAGAAGUAGUUGAGCGAACCUUCGGGGCGCAGACUACCAAGGUAUGGCUGGUAACUGGGGUGAAGUCGUAACAAGGUA